GAUAUGAAAAACCAUCGUUGUUAUUCAACUACAGAAAC
rnacentral:tRNA from 1 species